GUGUGGGGGUAACCGGUGUUUGUUGCGGGGGGGAAGUGCUGGCAGCCCUCGUCUUUGUACAAAGACAGUAUUCAACGCGAUUCAGCUCCUCCCCCCGAAAUUUUUCUCCAGCUGUACGUCGGGGGAGUUUUGCAUCCGACCCGUUCUAACUGUGACCCCGAUUUGCUAAACCACAGUGUCCUGCUGGUGGGUUUUGGCUUCGGUGAGUUGGGGAAGGCUCGGAGGGCCAGGGAGAAGAGAGGGGCCGGAGGCUGAGGUCAGCACCUCAGCCCCCAGUCUCCCUCCUCCUCCGUCCCUAGAUGGUGGUUACCCUCACUGGAUCCUGAAGAAUUCUUGGGGCCCAAAAUGGGGAGAGGAGGGCUAUUUCCGGCUGCAUCGUGGGAACAACGCCUGUGGGAUCGCCAAGUAUCCCGUCACUGCCGUGGUCAAAGGUCAAAGAUCCUCCGUCUCCUGCUCACCGUGAGACCGUCAGCCCCGUCUACCCGAUGGCCCGCACUGCCUAAGCGCCCCCACCGUCCCUCUCCCCCGUGGCUCCAGUAGAGACCACCCCUGCUCUUGCUCCCCCCAAAACAAUCCCAAGUCCCAGCCUGUCCAUGGAAUGAUCUGGGAGAGGCCUCAUGGGUGAAGAUGGACUGUCUGGGCCACUCCCCUGACCCCUCCAGUUCCCCAGCUGCCCACUUAGAGCUGUGUCCCUCCAGGUCACUUCCCUCACACCUCCCCCUCCCUCCAGCCCCCUGACCACCCGCUUAGGGCUGCAUCUCCCUGCCCACUCCCCCAGCAUCUCCCCUUAGUCUCCCUCCGGCUCCCCGACCUCCAGUUUAGUUAGGGUUGGGUCCCCCAUCCCCGUCCCUCCGCACACACACCUCUCCCUCUCGCUGCUCUGUCCCCAGCUGAGGCCCGGGCGUCUCCUCAAUCCCCUGAGCAGCAGGACCCGCCUCUGUAGCCGCCGCCGCAGGCAUUUUAUUGUCACCAUGGAGCCGGGGCGGAGUCGAGUCUGGGGGGAGGAGGGCGGCGGCCAUCCGGGAGAGGGGGGUCAUUCGUGAUACAGGCGCAGGAGGCAGCUCCGGAGGGUCCCCAUAUAGCGAUCCCAGAGCGCCUGGUGCCUGUCAGGGGAGGGGAAGGAAAGGGGAGCACAGGUAGGAGGCCGUUGGCUCGAAUGGAAGCUGCCGGAGGGUAGGGCUCAUGCCUGUCAAUGCUACUGCCCUCUUGCAAACUUAGCUUAGAAGGCGCUCAAUAAAUAUGACUGAUGGAUGGACUGAUA